rnacentral:pre_miRNA from 1 species
AAUAAGAUUAUUUUUAAUUUUUUGAUACAAUAUUUUGACUCUUCGUCUUAUUUGAAAUUUUUUUGCGAUUAAUAUCUUUGUUCUUGCUAGAUGAUAAAACACGAAUAAUACUUUAUGCGUGAUUAAUUUUUUUAAGUUUUUGUACAAUUUUUUUAAAUAAGACGAAUGGUCAAGCGUUGGAUACGGAAAAUAAAAAAUAAAGUUAUU